AGGGGAGGAAGAGAGUUUGGAUUAGGAGUUUAUGUUACUGGAGUAGAUGUGGACUCAGUAGCUCAGAUUCUUGGAUUACAGGAAGGGGACCUACUGCUUGACGUAAAUGGAAAACCAUUCCAUUCUAUUCUGCAUCAGGAUGCUGUUGAUUUUCUGCUUGGCUGCAGUACACUGCUUGCAGUAACAUACCAGG